UAGGGAAUCUUCGGCAAUGGACGGAAGUCUGACCGAGCAACGCCGCGUGAGUGAAGAAGGUUUUCGGAUCGUAAAGCUCUGUUGUUAGAGAAGAACGUUGGUAGGAGUGGAAAAUCUACCAAGUGACGGUAACUAACCAGAAAGGGACGGCUAACUACGUGCCAGCAGCCGCGGUAAUACGUAGGUCCCUAGCGUUGUCCGGAUUUAUUGGGCUUAAAGCGAGCGCAGGCGGUUCUUUAAGUCUGAGGUUAAAGGCAGGGGCUUACCAUUGUACGCUUUGGAAACGGGAGGACUUGAGUGCAGAAGGGGAGAGUGGAAUUCCAUGUGUAGCGGUGAAAUGCGUAGAUAUAUGGAGGAACACCGGUGGCGAAAGCGGCUCUCUGGUCUGUAACUGACGCUGAGGCUCGAAAGCGUGGGGAGCAAACAGG
rnacentral:rRNA from 1 species